rnacentral:rRNA from 1 species
UACGAAGGGGGCUAGCGUUGCUCGGAAUCACUGGGCGUAAAGCGCACGUAGGCGGAUCUUUAAGUCAGGGGUGAAAUCCCGGAGCUCAACUCCGGAACUGCCUUUGAUACUGAGGAUCUCGAGUCCGGGAGAGGUGAGUGGAUCUGCGAGCGUAGAGGUGAAAUUCGUAGAUAUUCGCAAGAACACCAGUGGCGAAGGCGGCUCACUGGCCCGGUACUGACGCUGAGGUGCGAAAGCGUGGGGAGCAAACAGG